GACCUUGAGUAUGGGCCAUCUACUUUUUUUAUAGGAUCUUGAUUAUAGAAUAGAAUAGAAUCUACUUUUUUGCUUUUUUAUUUUUUUGCAGCUGGAAAAACAAGGUACAACUUAUAUAGCUGAUUAGCCUUUUUUGCUAGGGUCUAGGUCAUCUCUACCCAGUUUCUGUCUACUUUCACACAUAGACAAAAUGAGAAGGAUCUUGAAAUUUACCUAAUAGCAUCAAUAAUUAGACGAAUGUAAGCUAGAGCUAAGUUCGGGUUGUUGAUUAGAUGAAUCACUUCUAGGCUGUCUGUCUUUACAAUCACUUGGUUCCACUUCUCUUUUGCUUGAUGUAGUCCACUCUCCAUAGCUCUGCACUUUUCUUAUAGCUUAUCACUAGCCACAAUUUUUGUGGCUCCAGAAUCCUGAAGUUGUUGUCCUUAGGUUAUAUACCAUCCUACAGCUGCAGUAGGAGGUCUCUUUGUUUUUUUUUUUUUCAACUUCCAAGAAGAAUCAAUCUGGAUUUGGAGAAUAGAAGAUGAUAGCAGUUGACCUGUUCUCCAGAUCCAACACUUUUGUUUUGGAGGAGAGAUCUUCUGUUAUGUCCUGUCUUCAUUGCUAACUGUUACAAUCCAGCGAUGAAGAAGCUCUUGUGUUUCCUGCAUUAUCAGACUAGGAUUUGGGUGGAUCCUUUUGAAUCGAAUAUAUGGUUUCUGUGUAACCAAAUAGCCCGUAGUGUUACCACAAAUUCAGUCGCUCUUUAUUCCAUCUUGCCAUCCUAUUGUAAGAGAACAGACAUAAUGCAUGUUACCCAAUCUCUAAUAUUUUGGUUUCUAUGUGGAGCUGUCCUCAGGCCUAGAGAGCUAGCAGCCUAGAUCCUCGAGGAGAAUUCACAAUCUCUGAAUAGAUGCUCUUGUGUUUCUUGGUGUUCUCCACAUAGGGGACAAACCUGCUCUACUAAGAUGCCUUUUUUUUAGGUUCUCAGCAGUUGGAAUUGCUUUGUGAGUAAUUUUCCACAUGAAAAUUUUCCAAUUAGGAAGUAAUUUUCCUAGCCAAACUUUCUUCCAAAACUAGGUUAAAUUACCCUUGGUGUCUGAGUUCCUUUCUUAGAGCCAAUAUCCUGAUGACUUCACUGAAUAUGUUGCUGAUCACUAUUACAUUUUUGACCAAAUGCAACGGCCUAAUAAAGGCUAAUACAACGGUAUUCUAAUUGCCGUUGCAAUAGAGUAGGCUAUUGCCACGGAUUUAACACUAAUGUUCUUAGAGGUAUAGCUAUUGCAACGACUGUAAAGAACCGUUGCAAUAGCCUAGCUAUUUUAAAAAAAAAUGAGAGCUAUUGCAACGGUAUGUUGUAUCAUGAAAAAAUUUAGAAUGAAGCGCGCAUUUUCCCUCUAUUUUUUUCACCAAAUAUUUAGAACAACACGUUUCUUUAAUUUGCUUCCCUCUAUUCACAAUUCUCACGUACAGUACCUUUCCUCUUUUUCUCCAUUUUCCCCAUUCUCAAUUUCUCAUCACCAUUUUCCCAUUUUCUCCAUUUCUCCAUCUUCUUCAUCCAUUUGGUUAUCUUCUUCAUCCCGCAAUCUCCUAAAUCGUUCUAACCUUCUAUGAUUUUUCUGCUAGAUUAUAGAGUUCCGUUUGAUUAUUGCUCGGAUAAGUUAUUGGUCGGAGCUUGCAAUUGAUGGGUGGAAUACGAAUUGGGUUGAUCUUGCUUAAAGUUGGUGGGUCCACUACUUGUGCUAUCUUCUUCUUCAUUUUUUCAUGGCUAGUUUUCUAUUCUUUUUAAUCUCUUUCUGAUUUUAGCGAUUUUUGAUGAUUUUUGGUAAUUCCCUUUUGUUUUGGUUUGUUAGGGUUUUAGGAAUUUGAAUUUGAUAUAACUGUGUUGUGUUGUAAUUUGGGAUUAUUGGUUUAUGUUGUUUAUUGGAAAGGUAAGAAAUUUGUUUUACUAGAGUGCUCUCAACUAUGAUUGAUGGGUGGAAUACGAAUACUCGAAUUACAGCUUUUUUCGUGGUGUCGAGUUGGGGGUGAUAAUGUGAAUGUAAAGCAUGGUUAUUGUGUUUUAGAGUACCCAUAUUUGCCUUAGGAAAAAGACGUGGAUGUCAAGAUAAGUGAGAAAUGUGUGUUGCUGAAUUUGCUAUCAACUACUGGUAUGUAUGCUGGGUGGAAUGUUCAGCUGGUUUCGUGGUGUUAAUUUUGUAGAUUUAUGUACUGGCUACUGAGAAUAUAAGAUAGAUUGUACUGGAUUGUCAAGCUUCAAGCCUUCAAGCUUUGUUCUUGAGUGUUUCUUCCUUUUCGGGGAUGACUAGGUAAGGACGUAAUGGGUGGUUCAAUUUGGUUUUGUAUUAGGUGAUGAAUUGUAAUUCAUCAAGUGUUCAUUGGAUAUUGUUUGUUGCUGAAUGCUGAGCUUUUUGUCUGAUGGGUAGUUUUUGGCCAGUGUACAUACUCCCACAAUUCGCUCCUUUUGUAUUAUAUCAUGCAUUUGGAGGUCUGGUCCUAAGUAUGUUGUUUUAACGUAGAUCAUGAAAUUUUGGUUUUGCUACUAUUUAGUUGAAUUUUGUACUUUUGAUCGUUGAUUUAUGAUUUUAAGAUCUGACACAUUUAGUUUAUUGGUUGGAUCGUAUGAUUGUAGUGAUUUUGUUUGUAGAUUUCAUAUGUGUUGUUAUGUUAAUACAUGACCUAAGUUUGUUGUGAUGGAAGAGUAUCGAUAUUUUGUAUGUUUUCAAUAUUAGAAGUAUGAUAUUUGAACAAACUAGGAAGUUGAACCAUAAUUUAUCAUAAUGUAAUAGCCAAUCAAGUUCUAAUGUGACAUGUGAUCAUGAUGCAUUAAUAAUCUAUAGCAUCUAGCUGAUUCAAAGCUAAAUUUAAGACUGAUCAGACUUUUUUUUCCACUAAUAUAGUGGUAAAGGAGGUUUUUGUUUUAAGGAACAAUGGACUUACAAUGCAAAAAUGUUCUGGACUACAAGAUCCAUAGCAAGUGUCAAAAGUACAAUGUUAGAUCUUGCGUGGUUGGAAGAUUGAGUUUCAAAUUUACUAUCAUUUGGAUCCAAUCUUAUUUAUUGACGAUGUUUUCUUCGGUUUAUCAAACUACCUCUUUUACUUUGUAAAUGUUUGUAUUUCAGAAUAUGUUGAAGGAUACAUUUGCUGAUUUUACUAAGCAGAAAAUUCUGUCUCAGUCAUUAAAUGUGGUCUCGAGCUUCUUGGUGUGUGAGCAUAACUUUGAAUACUAACUUUUGUUUUUUUAAUCUAGUGCAAGUCUGUCAUUGAAGUUCGUAAUGGCCUAACUUUCCUUGACCUUAUAGUUAAGCAAAUUGAGAGCCUUAACAGCAAGUAUGGAUCCAAAGUGCCUUUGGUUCUGAUGAACUCAUUCAACACACAUGAUGAUACACUUAAGAUAAAGUACCCUUUUUUUUUUAUGUUCCGUGCUGUUAGACUUUUAUCUCGUGGAGCAUCUUUUCAAGACUUCAAACUCAUUGCAUACAGAUUGUUGAAAAAUACGCCAAUUCAAAUGUUGAGAUUCACACAUUUAAUCAGAGUCAAUACCCUCGGCUGGUUGUUGAAGAUUUCUCGACAUUUCCAUGCAAAGGUCAAUCCGGCAAGGAUGGAUGUUUAAGAUGUAUAAAAACUACAGAAGCACCCAGCUGGCAGUCUGAGCAGAAACAGCAGCAGAAGCAGUAGCUUGGGCAGCAGAAACACAGC